AAUAGUAGUUAUAUUUUACUAACCAAAUACCGAAAAAACCGAACCGAACCGAAACCAAUCCGAUAUCCGGAUUGAACACCCGUAAUCCAAAUGAAGCCAAACUAUUGUUUCAUUUUCCAAAAUAUAAUAAAAAUAAUAACUUAAUCCCGCGCAAGGCGCGGGUCUUAUCCUAGUUAUGUUUUAAAAUGGUGACUCUGUAAUUUGUUUUUAUCUGCAGAAUUUUGAAUAAUGAGAAAACUAUAUAGGUGUAGAAUUAAGAAUUGAAAACAAAAGUUUCCUUUAGUAAUGUAAAACGUAUGAGAUUUCUGUGUUGAGUUGCUUUAUUUGUUUCCGCCUUGUUUCACCUGUUUAUUGUCUGUGUGUCAUUAAGAAAACAAUUGAAAAUUAAAAAGUAAAACGCGGAAAUACUUAUUUUAAUUACAACAAAAGAAGAGCAGGUUCCAUCGUGAAAGACCAAAAUUCAUACGCAAAAUUCAAGAUCUUUAGUAGGUUUGUCGUUGCCGUUUAUAGGCUAUGAGAUUGACCACUAUAAACUGCAAUGUACUGUUGAAUCCAAUUCCCCUCCACUCAAAAUGUCUCUCUCUCUAGACAUCUGUCCCGUUGCAUGUAAGAGGGAGAGAGAAAAGAGACAAAACUCAAAAACAGAGAUAAGACUCUUGAAGAGUGUGAACGACAGAGAGGGAUAAUGUUUUUUAUUUUCAUCUUUUGUUAAUCUCCCUUCUCCUCUCUUCUCUUCUUCUCUCCUCUCCCCGAAUAUCUCUCUCUUUGUUCUUUCUUUUUUGUUAAUUUAUUUUCCCUUCUUGAUUUGGUCAAACCCUAGAUUUGUUUUCGCAAAGGGUAUCCAAAAAUGAAACUUUCCUCUUUUCCUUUGAUUAUAAAUAUUCCCUCUGGUUCUUGCUUAUCCUAAGCCUCUCAGAUCUAACUCUACAUCCCAAACCCAUUUCCAAUGGUCGAUCUCUUAUUUCAGAAUCUGUGUAGGUAAGGACAUUGAAUGAGUUUUGGGAUAAAUUUUAGAGAAACGCAUAGAAACUGACAGAAGAGAGUGAGCACACAAAGGCACUUUGCAUGUUCGAUGCAUUUGCUUCUCUUGCGUGCUCACUGCUCUAUCUGUCAGAUUCCGGCUCCGAUUCUUUUCGGUCUGUUCACGUUUUCUUCUUUAAUUGUGUUCCCAUUCUCUCUCUCUUAUGUUCUUCAUCCCUCCAAAUUAAGGUAAUUGAUACGAUCUCGCUCCUAUAAUAUGUAACGAUUUGGUUUCUAAAUGCAUACGACUUUACUCUUUCUUUUCUCCUUUGUUCUACUUUAUAUUUUAUGAGAUCAUUAGUUUCGAAAAAGCUUUAAUCUAAAUGUUUAUGGUUCGGUUAAACAAGAUUAAUAUGGGACCAUUAACGUUAACCUAGUUCUUUCUUAGGCUGGUCCUAACUCUUUUGAAUCCUUAAUUUUCUCAAUUCAAGCUUAGAUUAUUAAUCAUGUGGUUUUGUAUCCUCUCUUUUUUUCGGUUUCCGCUAGCUUUCAAAAUCUGUGAUUUAGUAUCUUGAUUCAUAAAUAUGUAUAGAUCUAUUAUUUGCUUCAUAUGAUGACAUCUGUGGAUUUGCAAAUUACUGUUCAUGAUCUUCAGCUGUUGGUUUUCUAGAUUAUUUAUAUUGUAUGCUUGUACAUUUUGCUUGAUGUAUAACCACUAUAUUUAUAUAGAUGGUAUCUAAUUUAUAUACCAUUGGUUCCAUGUGAUCACGUUGUGAAUCUUUACGAGAAUAUUCUUGUGGACUUGGUUCUUGAUCUAAGAACACGUUCUUUGCAUUUAAUUUUCAAAACGACCACAGGCUCAUCAAUUUGUGUAUUCUUUUCGAACUUUUAAGUAGUAAAUAUGGGUUCCAGAAGCGAUUUGUAGAUAUGGCCAAUUCUAUAUAUAUAGUGGUUACGAAAUCUACAGUAAUUGAAUUUCUUUCUGAAUUAUGUAUGCGUGUCUAUGACUGAAUGCUUAUGUAUGCGUGUCUAUGACUAAAUUUUGAAGAAAAGUAAAAUGUGACUUUCCCACAUUUAAAUGAAUUAUGUGUUUUUCUUUCUGCCAAAAUACUAUUUUCAAGUCUUGGGAUUUGUUUCUAAGUGAUGGGGUGAUUAAUAUUCUUCAAAUCGUGUCAAAUAUCUACAAAUAUUUUUUCUCGUGUUGCUAGCUAGGUGUCUCUUGUCAUGCAGGUCUUGCUUUCUCCUUUUUCUCAUUUGUUCCCACGUUUUCUUGUGUAGAAACCAGUUAAUGGACUAUUUUCAGACAAACCUAGGUUUGUAAUUCCUGUAGUUAGCAACAAAUAGGUUUUAACUUCGUGAAGAGAAAGAUAGUUCUUACUUGGGGAGUGUGAAAUGUGUUUUGAAUCCUCAGAGGCAUGUUUAUAAGAAUGAUCGAUAUAUGAGGUUGAGCUUCUCAAACUUUUCUUAACUGGGUCUGAUGGAAAAUGGUUUACGGAGUACUUAUAUUUUGCAUUCCAUUAUGUAACAAGUUGUCACCAAGACUUUUGUUUGCAUUCAUCUGAGAAAUUAGAGUCACACGGGCGUUAGCCAGGAAUAGGGAAGACAAUCAAAGAGACACUAACAUAUAUUUUUAAGGUGUCAUCAACGGUGCCAGAUUGUAAUAUGCAGCAAAUCCUCUGUCUUGAUGAGAGGGAUAUUUUAUGUUACAAGCUGGUACUAUUUAGUAUUGAUCGACCUUUUGGUGCACUUUUGUUCAUCAUGUUUCAGAUUUCGAUUGUCUAUCUUGGUCGCUGCCCGAUUCAAAUUGUUCAUGGGAAGGCAAAGACCGAUGCGGUGUUUGCGGUAACCUAUAUAUUUAUAAUCUUUUGGGAUAUCGAUUUAGGGUUUUUGUGCUUUGUUCUAUCAACUGAUUUCCUUGAUGCUGAUUGUUCUAGUUCACAUUUGUAAUAUUAAACAUUGUUAGGUUAAUUAUUGUCAGGUAAGUAGGAUCUGGAUAGGAUUGUUGUUGUGCAAGUCCACUAUCGAUACAUUGAUAAUUUAGUUGGUUACAUUUUGAAAAUGUCCAAGUUUAAUGGUAUAUGUCAUCUCAAGAAAAUUGAAGUCUUACCUAGAAAUUUAGAAAAUGUCAAACGAAACAAAUCCUAGCGAUUGGCUCUUGUUGAUGAUAUACAACACAUCUUUUUUUUAUUCCUUUUAACUUUUCUCUAAUUUUUUUAGUGUAAUACAAAAGUAGAUCCUCCUUUUCAGAAAUAUAAAUAAAUUAAUACGUACUAGUCAGCCGUUUUAAAAUAAUCAAAUAUUAUAUCCUCUUUAAGUAAUACAAAGUCAUAUUUAUCAAUCAAGUAGAUGAUAAUAAAAACAAAGAAGUCACAACAUGUAAAUUACAUACUUAAUUACCUCUUUAAACUUAAUCAGAAAGUUCUCUCUGAUUAAUUAACAAUAAUCGUAACAUCAUAAUUAAUUGUAGUGUAGUCUUUUGCAAACAAAGGUAAAUACAGUAUUUAUCGAAGAAAAACCUUUUGUAGUCUUUAUAUAUAAAAUACACUUUCAAUCUCUCCUGGGGGUGACAGCUCGGAUUCCACGUCAGAAAUAGGAAGUCUACAGCAUUGACACGUCGGAUCCGCACCGUUUCACUAAAGCGUUGCUCUGUCCGAACGGGCUUCACGUGGGCUUUGUGUUGCGCUUCGUCUGCGGCCCUAAUCAGUUGCAAUGCGAACCCCUUUGUGUUCUUCGUUUCUCUUCGAUCGCGCAGUGACGAUCCAGUUAUCUAAGCAUCACACUACUUGGUCAUCCUUCAUCUUCCUAUCCAUCAGUUGCGAUUGCAUUCGGUAUAUAUAUGCACUUCACGGAACCCUCAAACAAUCUAAUCCUUCCACAAUCUUCUUCAGAUCCUCAUUUAUCUUCUUUCUCCAUUAGAAGCGAUUGUUUCUAAGAGACCUCUUAAUUGACAUUUCAUCCUAGAUUCUUAUUAAUGGCAGUCUGUAAGUUAAAUUUCCCUUUUUGUUCUUUCUGUGCACAUGGAAUUUACAUUUGCUUAAUUUUUUUUGCAUCUGUGUUUGACGUUUGAAAAUCUGAAUCCGAUUUCAAAGUCAUGGAUCUGGAAAUUAAUGAUGCGCUGGCGAUGGAAAUUUGUCGUGAUACCAGCAUAAAUUCACGGGACGGUUGGCAUUCCUCUCCGGCGUGUAAGUUUAUGGAAACAUAACACUUUUUCAUUCUUUAUGAAUCUCCAAGAAAUAAAGGAAUCUUUGUGAUAUACAAUUUUGAUUGAUCUUUAACAGGCUAAGUUGUUACAUUCAGAUAGAAUCGUUCAUCGUUAUAUGAAAAAGAUACAUGCUUUUGGAUUAACAGAGCAAUCUAUGGCUUGCUAAUUUUGGAGUGUAGGAUUGGAGCUCAGAAUCCAAAUGACAUGACUGAAGAAACUUGUACUCUUGAUGGCUCCAAAGGUAACAAAGGAACAUAACCCUUACGUUAAGGAUUGGUUAGGGUUAACUUUCUAUCUCCCUCAUUGUGAGUGUAGUAUUGAAACAUGUUAUUUGGGGACUAAACUGGUUUAUGGUUUCGUUGGUUUAAUAGAAAAACCUAACGUUUUUACCAAAAAAAAAGAAAAAAAAACUUAAACGCAGUACUAAACCCAUUUUUUAUUCAGUUUUAGUUUCCACUCAUAUUGAUGCAUCGUUGGUUUCCACUCAGAUCAUAUACUCAUCCCUUUUGGCUGUUUAUAGAAUUUGUUUUGUUUAUGGCAGUGAGAACGUCUCAGCCGAGAAGAUCAAGAGCUGAUGCAGAAGCUUCCUGAUUCCAGCAAAUCAAACGCCGUUGAACAACAUAAAAUCUGUUUCACCCAAUUCAAAAGUGAGAAAUUUGCGAGUUAUUAAAUUUAGUAUUUUUUAUCUUCACUUCUCCUUCUCUGAAAUUGUCUUUUUAGCUCUCCUUCUUUUACAGGAUUCAUUUGGUAAGAAGCUGAUGGAUAGGAUCCGGCCAACCCAACCCCGGUCCUGCACAGUACUCUUCGUCCGCCUCUACCACGGUGUCUCAACCCAACUCCGGUUCCUGCCAUGUUGAUGCAGAUCUACAGCGACACUAUAGGUGUUGCCAAAUCUGUACUUUAAUCCUCCUAAGUUCAAUUUCAUGCCGCAAAUUUAGAGACACGGUGUGUUCUUCUUUUUCUCUCUGUUCAUAUACACUUGGAUAUGUAAUAUAAGAAAUUAAAAAUGCUUCUCUUUUGUUGUUCUAUGUGACCAGAAAAGACAGAACUCUGAACAAGUAGAAGAACAAGAUCCACUUAUUAGUUGUUCUUCUUUGAUGUAGUUGAACACAGUUUUGUAUGUUGGAAAUGACUUUGAUCGGCCAGUUUUGUAAAGAGUAUUCACUAAUUAGCUGACGCCUUGGAUCAUGUUAGGUUUUGCUCUUAUUCACUGCCUUUUAACCACUCUUCUGGUGAAAAUUAUAUACACUGCUAAGGAAGAGUUCGAGAAUCUGUGUUUAAUUCUUGGUAUUGAGCUUGAUGCUGUGACAACUGAGAAAGCAAUCAACAGGAAAGAAAAGCAUAUAGAAGAAGAAGAAGCUGAUGAUGACGAAGAAGUCAUCUACAAAUAAUAUAUCAAUCUGGCUGUGUAGUGUAUAUACACUGGUAUAUAUUUAUAUGAUAUUUUUUAAACAAAUUUUGAGACUAAUGUUUAGGUUAAAUUUUAAAAGCAAUAAAAUCAGUCAAAUGUAUUAUAAACAAUCUACAAAAAUCAUAUUCGUGAAGUAAUUAAAUAAAAAUAGAGAAAAUCAUAAGCUAUACAUUAGAAGCUAACAGUAAUAUUUUUUUAGAAUAUCCUAAUAUGUUCAUGUAUUUUAUUUGAUAAUUUCUUAAAAUAAAUAUGGUUGUUUUCAAGUAGUAACGAUCAAUAUUAAACUAUUAUACAGAUUAGCUAAUUUAGAAAAUAAAAUUUUACAUCGAUUCACCUUUCCAUUAUGCAAAGCUUGAUUUAAAAGAAAAUAUAUAAGAAAAUAUAAAAUUAUCAAUGGAUUAAAAUAAAUUUAUAAGAGAGAAAUUUCAUGCUCUAUGUAUUGAACUUCAAAUGUAAUUCUGAAUAUUUAUUUACUUAUUUCAUAAUUAAAUUAGAAAAAAAAAUAGUUACACUAAUUAAAAAGGAAUUGUUAUUAUAGUUAGAUAAGUGUAUGAUUUCUAACAAAAAUAACAAAAACCAAAUAAUUAUUACUAAUUAAGAAUAAACUAAAUAUUUCUAAAUGUAUAUAAAAUGUUUUUAGGAAAAAUUACUUGAAUACCCGUGUGUAGGACGGGUUUAUCCUUAGAAGUGUAAACUUCUGUGGCUUUUGAAAUUCUAUUUUUGGGACGAAUGAUUAAAAAUGAAAAAUUCUUUACAACAAUUUUCACUAAUAAAAAAUAUACAGAAAUGUGCCAUAAUAAAUAGUUACACUAUAAAUAUGUUUAAAAAUAUGCAAACCAUGCAAACGUUUUAGUACUUCGGUAAUAGAAAUCCAAACAGUGUGUAUUUCAGUUUCUUUUUAAAGUAUGUUAAUUGUAUAAGGAAAAUAAUCUUCAUUGUUUAUAGAACAAAACAUAUUUAAUUUAGUUCAAAUGCAAUUUCGGAUCUCUUUAAAUAAAAAUAAUUUCUUCCAAUGGAUCCUCCGAAUCUUGAAUGGAACAUAUAAACCAUUAUGAAUCUCUUCUCCUUAAUCUGAAAUCAUAUGUUUAAGAGUAAGACCAAGCAAGAAAUGGUCCAUAGAUGCUCAUAUUUGUUCCUAACAAAUAAUAGAGCUUAUUUUAUCAAAACCGAGUAUCACCCAACAAUAAACUUAAAAAUGAGACCGAUGAUCACCAGGAACAACAUUUCCAACUGGAUGGCUAAUUUUUUGAUUGCUAAUUUCUCACCAAAGUUAAUAUUUUAUUUUUGGAAUAUUAUUCAAGUAUUAAGGCUGGCGAGAACCUCAAAAAGAGUCAUAUAUAUUGGUUGUUAAUAAGAAAUGCAACUUCAAAUAAUCAUCAAUUCCAUUCCAAUAGCAUGUCGAGAGACUAUGAUUUCAACAUAAAAAGUAAUUUUUCUUAAGAUAUACAAACAAAAAAAUUACUCACAACACAAUUCUUUCAAACCCAAAAUAUUACGAACCACAAAUAAUACAUCGAAUAUAAGAUUAUUUUUUUUUUUAAAAGAAACAACGUGAAGACCAUUUGAAAUCCUCAUAACAUAACAAUGCCAUAUUUCUUUAAUUAAUAUAGAAAUAACUAUUAUUUUUCUCGACAACAAAAACAACUAUUGCAAACAAACAAAAGAUAUAUUAUCAUCUAUAAUCCUUUAUGGCCUACAAUUUUCUAAAAAACAAAAGUCAUAUGAUGAACAUCUUUUACAAAUACAAAUCUAAAACACAAAC